rnacentral:rRNA from 1 species
GACAGAGGGUGCAAACGUUGUUCGGAAUUACUGGGCGUAAAGCGCGUGUAGGCGGCUAUGUAAGUCGGGCGUGAAAUCCCACGGCUCAACCGUGGAAGUGCACCCGAAACUGCGUAGCUAGAGUCCUGGAGAGGAAGGUGGAAUGCUUGGUGUAGAGGUGAAAUUCGUAGAUAUCAAGCAGAACACCUGCGGCGAAGGCGGCCUUCUGGACGAUGACUGACGCUGAGACACGAAAGCGUGGGGAGCAAACAGG